ensembl:lincRNA
CACUGCAGCCGGCAUUGUAGGGGCUCUUUACGGCGAGGUCGGGCCUGUGUGGGCUGUGUGUGCCGCUACAGAAAUUCCCAGUCGCAGAUGUCGAGCUAGAGCAGUGGAGAAUGAACUCUUCAGGAAACAAUGAAAAUUUUGAGGGCAGUAACUCCAGACCUUUCUUCUAUGUGCAUCCCAUGGCCCAGCAGCCUCACCUGGGUCCCUGGUACCAGAAUCCUGCCUAUAAUCCACUCUCCAUUUCUGGGGCAGCUUUCACAAAUGGAAGUCUGUAUUUUCCAGUGGUGCUCAGUGAGUAUCCUGCCUUCCUCGUCCCUCAAUCCCCAUUGCCUACUACUGUUAACCGAAGAUCCAUAGUCCCUAUGUUUUAUAACACGGCACAGUUCCGACAGUAUGGUGGCUAUUGGGAAAAAAUGAAAACAAAGGACACACAAACAGAAGCUGAACCUCAACAGGCUGAAAACUUGAAUGAAAAACAAGACAUGCACUCAGAAGGCGACAGCCCUGAGGUAGGAAAGGUGACCAGUAUUCCUGCGAGUACAUCAAAUGAAAUGAUGCCAUCGUAUGAUGUGGUUUAUGCUCAAGAUAUGCCACAGAAGGAGGUGCCGCAAAAUGGGAUUUCUCAAAGUUUCUGUGAAAGUAGAGGAAUGCUUUAUAACUCUUAUGAGGGUAGAGACUGCAUGAACUUGGAUGAAGAAAAGAAGAGAUAUGCAGCUCUUUCCCAAAACCCACCACCUCCGAAUAGCAGAGAUGAGAUCCAGAAUACCCGGAACUCAAAAUUGUACCAGUCUGCUGGAGAUAUGAACAAGCUUCAUCAGGAACGGGCACUCUGCGCCAGCAUGGAAGCAGUUAAAGACCUGAGCCUACAUUCAGAAUCAUCUCAGAAGCCCUUUACUGCAGGGGAGGGUAUGCCAGAGAACAGGAGCGGGAGCCAUGGCUCCCCUGAGACUGUGGGUGAAGAGGCAGAGCACAGCAGCCACCCUGAGAUGCCUGUCCCGUCCCCUCCCGGCUUGGCUCAGGUCAGCAAAGAAGAUGAGGGCAUCCAGUGCGACUUGACUUGGUGGACUGAGGUACAGUCUGGGAAUUCCCCUGAGUCUUCACCAGGAAGUGGUAGGAGGGGAGCAGAUCAGCUGUCAGUGGGGAGCCAGAACCAGGAUGAAGUUAAUGAAGUGGAGAACAAUGGCUGUGAGGGGCAAGUUCCCUCCCCUACCUGGUUGGCCCAGGUCAACAAAUUGGAUGAGGGCAUCCAGUGCGACAUGGGUUGCUCUGAAGCUCAGGUAGAGAAAUCCCCCCAGCAAAUGCCCUCUAGGGGUGAAGAGACAGCAUCAGACAGCAAAACCAAGGGAUCUUGGAAACAACCAGACACCAAUAGGAAAUUAAGUGCAGAUAAAGAGGAAAUGAUCAUGAACUAUGAGACUGGGGAGGUGUAUGAUGAGAACUUGAAAAGGUGUGCGAAGAUUAAAAAGACUCUGAAAGGCAGGAAGCUGAAAGAGCUGAGCAGCUUCUCAAAUGUUAAGACAGCCUAUCUGCUGAAGAAAAGUACCAUCUUGACCAUUGUGCUUCCUGAGGAUUCAGAAGACUCUGAGUUGGAAGAGGAGGGUGACAUGGAUGAGGUAGGAUGCCUCCUUGAAGUGAGUCCACAGAGUCCUCUGACAUCUUCCAAAGGAAGGUCUUCUGAGGCUGGAAGGAUAAUCAGGAUGCUGCCUGAGAACUCUGUUCCUCCCCAACUUAUGGUGUGGCCCACCAGAAAUAAGUGCAAGUUAUUACAAGCUUAUGGUGAAUGUGAGUGUGUCCCUGCAGUUUACCGGUGGAAACGACAGGAUGGCUGUGAAAGCACUGGUGUCAGGCUCCAAAGCACACCCACCAUGGCCAAUAAGGAGGGACUGCAGUCCAGGAGGGCCUCUUACAGACCACUGGAAUGUAACUGUGAGAGAGCUAAAACCAAGGUCCCUUACAAAGUACCAGAGAUUUGAGGCAGAUACCAUAGAAUUUAGGAAAUACCCAUCAGCUCUAGAG